rnacentral:rRNA from 1 species
GACGAACGCUUGCGGCGUGCCUAAGAAAUGCAAGUCGAGCGAGGUUUAGGCUUCGGCCGACGACCUAGCGGCGAACGGUCGCGUAACACGUAAGCAACCUGCCCUAAAGUUGGGGAUAGCCCGCCGAAAGGCGGAUUAAUACCGAAUGUGGAUAUGUAUUCGCAUGUAUAUAUAUCUGAAGCAGCGAUGCGCUUUAGGAUGGGCUUGCGGCCUAUCAGUUAGUUGGUGUGGGUAACGGCCUACCAAGACGACGACGGGUAGCUGGUCUGAGAGGAUGGUCAGCCGGAUUGGGACUGAGACACGGCCCAGACUCCUACGGGGGCAGCAAUUAGGAAUCUUGCGCAAUGGGCGAAAGCCUGACGCAGCGACGCCGCGUGACUGAUGAAGUCUUUCGAGAUGUAAAGGUCUUUUGUUGGGGACGAAGGAAGUGACGGUACCCGAGAAUAAGCCCCGGUAACUACGUG